rnacentral:rRNA from 1 species
AGUGAACGCUGGCGGUAGGCCUAACGCAUGCAAGUCGAACGGCAGCACAGUAAGAGCUUGCUCUUACGGGUGGCGAGUGGCGGACGGGUGAGGAAUACAUCGGAAUCUACUUUUUCGUGGGGGAUAACGUAGGGAAACUUACGCUAAUACCGCAUACGACCUACGGGUGAAAGCAGGGGAUCUUCGGACCUUGCGCGAUUGAAUGAGCCGAUGUCGGAUUAGCUAGUUGGCGGGGUAAAGGCCCACCAAGGCGACGAUCCGUAGCUGGUCUGAGAGGAUGAUGAGCCACACUGGAACUGAGACACGGUCCAGACUCCUACGGGAGGCAGCAGUGGGGAAUAUUGGACAAUGGGCGCAAGCCUGAUCCAGCCAUACCGCGUGGGUGAAGAAGGCCUUCGGGUUGUAAAGCCCUUUUGUUGGGAAAGAAAAGCAGCAGGUUAAUACCCCGCUGUUCUGACGGUACCCAAAGAAUAAGCACCGGCUAACUUCGUG